AAUCAACGCUGGCGGCGUGCCUCAGACAUGCAAGUCGAACGAUUAAGACUUCCUUCGGGAGGUGCAUAAAGUGGCGCACGGGUGAGUAACACGUAAGUAAUCUACCCUCGAGUGGGGAAUAACGUUCGGAAACGAACGCUAAUACCGCAUAACGCAGCGGCACCGCAAGGUGACAGUUGUUAAAGGAGCAAUGCGCUUGAGGAGGAGCUUGCGGCAGAUUAGCUGGUUGGUAAGGUAAUGGCUUACCAAGGCUACGAUCUGUAUCCGGUCUAAGAGGACGGUCGGACACACUGACACUGAAUAACGGGUCAGACUCCUACGGGAGGCAGCAGUCGGGAAUUUUGGGCAAUGGGCGAAAGCCUGACCCAGCAACGCCGCGUGAAGGAUGAAGUAUUUCGGUAUGUAAACUUCGAAAGAAUGGGAAGAAUAAAUGACGGUACCAUUUAUAAGCUCCGGCUAACUACGUGCCAGCCGCCGCGGUAAGAC
rnacentral:rRNA from 1 species